rfam:Pteropus alecto contig168292, whole genome shotgun sequence.
GCCUUUGGCCAUGCCACACUGAACAAGCCUGAUCCCUUCUGAUCUCGGAAGCCAAGCAGGGUCAGACCUGGUUAAUACUUGGAUGGGAGACUACCUAAGAAGACCAGGUGCUGUAGGUG